rnacentral:rRNA from 1 species
CUGGUUGAUCCUGCCAGACCCGACUGCUAUCGGAUUGGGACUAAGCCAUGCGAGUCAACUCCGCAAGGGGUGGCGCACGGCUCAGUAACACGUAGUCAACCUACCCUGGGGACGGGGAUAACCUCGGGAAACUGAGGCUAAACCCCGAUGGGCCAUGGCUCCUGGAAUGGGCUAUGGCUGAAAUCUACAUGGCCCCAGGAUGGGACUGCGGCCGAUCAGGUUGUUGGUGGGGUAAUGGCCCACCAAGCCUAUAACCGGUGCGGGCUCUGAGAGGAGGAGCCCGGAGAUAGGCACUGAGACAAGGGCCCAGGUCCUAUGGGGCGCAGCAGGCGCGAAACCUCCGCAAUGGGCGAAAGCCCGACGGGGUCAGUCCGAGUGGUUCCCGCUGAGGGAACCUUUUGCCAGCUGUAAACAGGCUGGCGAAUAAGGGGUGGGCAAGUUUGGUGUCAGCCGCCGCGGUAAUACCAGCACCCCGAGUGGUCGGGACGAUUAUUGGGCCUAAAGCAUCCGUAGCCGGCCCAGUAAGUCCUCCGUUAAAUCCAACGGCUCAACCGUUGGGCUGCGGGGGAUACUGCUGGGCUAGGGGACGGGAGAGGCGAGGGGUAUUCCCGGGGUAGGGGUAAAAUCCACUGAUCCCGGGAGGACCACCAGUGGCGAAGGCGCCUCGCUAGAACGUGCCCGACGGUGAGGGAUGAAAGCUGGGGGAGCGAACCGGAUUAGAUACCCGGGUAGUCCCAGCCGUAAACGAUGUAGGCUCGGUGUUGGGCUGCCUCAGUGGCAGCCCAGUGCCGCAAGGAAGCCGUUUAGCCUACCGCCUGGGGAGUACGGCCGCAAGGCUGAAACUUAAAGGAAUUGGCGGGGGAGCACCAC